AUGUCCAUGCACAUACAACAAAACUAGAACUUACAUUUGCUGCAAGGAAGGGCACCUUUUGGCCUUUUUAGGGUUUUUUUCCUAUGUGGAAAUCCAGAAACUUUGAUUUAUGUGAGGAGAUGGAGCCUGAAACUGACUUAGGAAUGGUGGAGAAGCUUGAUUAUCUCAUGCUAAAAUUCAUUGCAUCUCACAGUAUGCAGUCUAUUAAGUGAAUUUUAGGGGAAAGUUGGCCCAAUAAGAGAGAAUUAUUCCAAAUGAAGUAGGUUAUAUAGCUGGUCAAGUGAAUUUUAUUCUCCUCUUUUCGGGCAAACAUCUGUGUUCUCUUAUAAUCACUAGUUUUUUGUUUACUUUAUUGAACUGCUGAAAUGCUUGGAUGGUUUAUAUUGAGAUCAAUUAUUUUACAUUUUUCAGGCAUAAGGUCCGAUGGUUUCUAGGCUUCCUCUUCUUGUUGGCUUCAAGAUUGAGCAGAGGGGCUAGGUGUGAUGAAACUCUCUUCGUAAAAAAGACUUGUACUAUUGCUAAUGUGGAAUGCAACACUAGGAGGUGUAUAUCAUUGUGGUUGAUUAUAGUUGAAGGGUCCAUGGCUGUCAUGAAACCAGAGAUGAAGUCUUUCAUUUGGCUUGAAACUCCUGAUGGUUCAACUCAACAAGUGGAGGAAGAAGUUGCAAUGUUUUGUCCCAUGAUAUGCCGAGAAGUCCUUCAAACAGGCAUGGGAUCUUCCAAAAAUUAUGCUAUAAAACUUCCUCAACGAGUUAAUCCCUCUGUCUUAGGCUUAAUACUUGACUAUUGCCGGUUUCAUCAAGUACCAGGGCGCUCCAAUAAGGAGCGGAAAACCUUUGAUGAGAAGUUCAUUCGGCUGGAUACAAAAAAAUUAUGCGAAUUGACAUCUGGUGCAGAUAGCCUCCAGUUAAGACCAUUGGUUGACCUUACUAGCCGUGCACUUGCUCGGAUGAUUGAAGGCAAAACUCCUGAGGAAAUACGUGACACAUUUCAUCUUCCUGAUGAUCUCACGGAGGAAGAGAAGUUGGAACCUUUGAGAAAUAGGACUGAUGAUCCACGUAUCCGUCUUUUGAAUAGGCUAUAUGCCAGAAAGAGAAAAGAAUUGAAAGUAAGAGAAACAUCAAAGAAUGUUGAGAUUGAAGAGGAGCGUGUUGAUGAUCGUUCUGUUGAUGAUCUUUUGUUGUUCAUAAACAGCGGAGAUGAAGAUUCCAAAGGUGUUAAAUCGGUCAAGAAUAAAAAGAAGAAUCGUAGGAGAAAGGAUCAUUCAAAGGACUCUUCUCUCAACAUUCAGAAUGGGUGUCAUAAGAAGAUAGUCUAUCUUCUUCCCAUAACAGCGAGAUUGAGGAUGUGCCAAGUCCAAGUAAAAUUUCGAAGUUGCUAGGAUCUACUUUUCCUUCAAACCCCCCUGAGCUGGAUUUUGAUGAUGAGUUGGAUCCUGCAAUGAAGGAAGAACUUGACAGGGAAGUAGAGGAUUUUGCUCGGCGAUUGAACUCCGUUUGGCCAGAAAGAGUGCCAGGGAUCAUUUCUUCGGGUCAAGAUAGGAGGAUUGCACCUAGGAAUGGAUAAACAGGCAUGUAUUCCUUUUUAAUAAUUUCACUUAUACCUCUUUUAAAAUGGCGUUUGAUAUCGACCCACCAAAUGUUGUUCUGUAACAGGCAUGGACCAUACAUAUUGCUGAUGAAUUGGCAUGAUCUUUUUGGUGAAUAUUACAUAGCAAGGAAAAAAAAAGUAAAAAUCUUGUAGGCAUGUUAGCUGAAUAUAUAUGCAUCUGCUAUAUAAUUUUGGGUUUUUUUUUCCUUGAGAUGUGACGCUGUUCGUCUAUUCUUAACUUCUGUUUGCCGUCGUCAUCAUAAUCAUGGAUAUUGGGAGCAGUUGGCUAUAAAAAGAAUCGCAGAGAAAAAAUGUCUCGAAUGAUUUGUCAAAUUAUGUACAUUUUACAUCAUCUUGUUUGUUGUGGUUACGAAGGAACCUGAAAUUAAAGCAACCAAAGUUGGGUACUUGAUAUCAUCUCCCAAAGUUCUGAACAUUAUGUUUUUUAAGUAUAUACAAGUACGUCAAAAUAAACGUCCAGGAUGAAAAGAAAAUAAACGGUUUUAGGAGUAUGUAAUUAGACGAAGGAUUGUGUAACAGUAAGAGUUAAGUUGAGAAAUGUAAGAAAGUGAUUUGGACCUUUGAUCACUUUUAAUCUCAAAACAACUCAUAAGUUGUGCUUUAGAAGGGAAUUGGUUUGGUAACAUUAGUGUUGAUCCAAGGGUGUAAAUUGCUUCUUAACCUUCUCAUCACAACUCUGAUUGGUUUAAAGU